rnacentral:lncRNA from 1 species
CUCCAUAGUACCAGCUGACUCAGUCUAGAAUCUUGGUGUGCUUGCAGGCUUUGAAGAACAAGCUGCCAUGAAUCCUGCAGCUACAAGGAAAUGAACUCUAUUAACUUGAGUGAGCUUAAAACUAGAUCCUUCCCCAGUCAAGCCUCCAGGUGAGAAUUCAAUCCUGGCUGGCACCUGGAUUGCAGCUUACAGAAGACCCAGCUAAGGCCAUGUCUGGACUUUAAAUCCACAGGAACUGCAAGAGAACUGUUUGAUACACGCAACCAGGACUGUAUGAGAGGCUGGAAACGUAUCUAUCAGUACUACUUAUCUGUAGUAAAGACUUUUUUAAGCUCAUUUAUGAUUGCACAACCUAAAUAACCAUACAUGGCUGGGCCUGGGAAAGGCAGAAAGGCAGAUGGAUGGUAUCAGAAGUGGGACCUGCAGUGGGGCAUCUAGCAACCCCCAGGAGCAUUGAGUGACCAGGCUUGGGACCCACCGGGCGCAGGGUGUCCAUUGUUCUCUCGAAGCAACUGAGAAUUGUGGAUAUUCUUCAUUAUUCCAUCAUCAUCUCAAACCUCUUGGGUAUAGUGUUUGACUACUACUGUGACCAUAAAUUCCAAUAAAACCUAGGAAAAAUGAAACCACUACAUUAACUGAAAGGGAUAAGACAUGAUGGACAGAAAUUUCCAUGCAAUUAUUCCAUUCUGGUGAGAUUAGAAGGUGCUAAGCAGAUAAAGAAAUCAUCUUAUCAAGAAGGAAAAGUACCAUUUACUGAAGAAGGUCUGCUAAACUUUAAUCAUGACUGAAAAUAUAAAAAGACACUUUAAAUGGAUAAAUGCAGCUAUUGCACACAAUUGACAUGGCUGUAGAGAUGACAGAGUGAAGAGGUAUUUGAUCAGUCAUUUGUUAUAAAAGCUCAGGGAAAACAAAAAUUUCUACUUAAAAAUUUCUCUUUAUUGCUUUCUCAUUUUCUUUGACUUGCUAAAUUCACAGUUAAAUCACAUCCAUAUGUUCUCAGUUUUAACUGCUACCAUAUUUCUAACAUCACCCUUUUCUCGGCUAGAAAAAUGACUCCAUGUCACUUCCAAUGCCUCCUUUUAUGUUCGUGUUUGACAGAGAGUGCGCACAUUUAGGGUCUGUGCAGUGGGGA